UCCUUGGUGACUCAGAGGUUAAAGUGUCUGCCUCCAAUGCAGGAGACCUGGGUUCGAUCCCUGCUUUGGGA
rnacentral:tRNA from 1 species